rnacentral:rRNA from 1 species
GUGGGGAAUAUUGGACAAUGGGCGCAAGCCUGAUCCAGCCAUGCCGCGUGUGUGAAGAAGGCCUUCGGGUUGUAAAGCACUUUUGUCCGGGAAGAAAUCUUCCAGGUUAAUACCCUGGGAGGCUGACGGUACCGGAAGAAUAAGCACCGGCUAACUUCGUGCCAGCAGCCGCGGUAAUACGAAGGGUGCAAGCGUUACUCGGAAUUACUGGGCGUAAAGCGUGCGUAGGUGGUUCGUUAAGUCUGCCGUGAAAGCCCCGGGCUUAACCUGGGAAUGGCGGUGGAUACUGGCGGGCUAGAGUGCGGUAGAGGGUGGUGGAAUUCCCGGUGUAGCAGUGAAAUGCGUAGAGAUCGGGAGGAACAUCUGUGGCGAAGGCGGCCACCUGGACCAGCACUGACACUGAGGCACGAAAGCGUGGGGAGCAAACAGGAUUAGAAACCCGAGUAGUCC